rnacentral:rRNA from 1 species
UACGGGGGGGGCAAGCGUUGUUCGGAAUUACUGGGCGUAAAGGGCUCGUAGGCGGCCAAGUAAGUCGGACGUGAAAUCCCUCGGCUUAACCGGGGAACUGCGUCCGAUACUGGAUGGCUUGAGUUCGGGAGAGGGAUGCGGAAUUCCAGGUGUAGCGGUGAAAUGCGUAGAUAUCUGGAGGAACACCGGUGGCGAAGGCGGCAUCCUGGACCGACACUGACACUGAGGAGCGAAAGCCAGGGGAGCAAACGGG